AGUCUGGUGCCAGCAGCCGCGGUAAUUCCAGCUCCGAUAGUUUAUGCUAACAAUGUUGCAAUUAAAACGCUCAUAGUCAAACUUUUCAGUUAGUCAAUUUUGUGUAGUUCUAGAGAAUUACAAAUAAGUCGUUUUAUAUUGACAUAUAACUUAUUUUAUUGACAUUCAUUUUUCGAUAGUGAUUUAAGUUUGUUUUACUUUGAAAAAAUAACAGUGUUCCAAACAGUCGUUUAUUAUUAUUACAAAUUAUGGAAUGAUAAGUAAUGAUGUUAACUAAAUUUGAAUGGUUUGAGAUGUUGGUGUAAUGAUAUUUGGAGUGUUUCGGGGGGAUUAGUAUUUUGUCGUUAGAAGUGAAAUUCUUGGAUUGAGAAAAGACUAACAACAGCAAAAGCAUUGAUCUAGAAGCUAUUCCUUGAUCAAGAACGUAAGUUGCGGGAUCGAAGACGAUCAGAUACCGUCGUAGUCUCAACUAUAAACAAUAUCAAUUAGGAUUUAGCGAAUGUUUAUAUAAUAUUGUUUGAACCUUAAGAGAAAUCAAAGUGUUUGGUUUCUGGGGGGAGUAUGGUUGCAAGGCUGAAACUUAAAGGAAUUGACGGAAGGGCACCACAAGAUGUGUAUUCUGUGGCUUAAUUUGACUCAACACAGGAAAUCUUAUCAGGUCCAGACAUAAGAAUUAUUGACAGAUUGACAGCUCUUUCUUAAUUCUGCGGAUUGUGGUGCAUGGCCGUUCUUAGUUGGUGGAGUGAUUUGUCUGGUUAAUUCUGCUAACGAACGAGACGAUCGACUGUUAAUUCGCGUAAAAACUGAUUUCAUGAUUUUGCUUCUUUUAGAAACUAGAUUUGCAUAAAAAGCUGGAAGUUGGUAGCAAUAACAGGUCUGUGAUGCCCUUAGACGUUCUGGGUAGCGCACGGGCUACAAUAGGAGAAUUACUAUGCUUAAUAUCUUAAUUCGAGAUGAGCUGAGAAAUCAUGAAACUUAUCUAUAGUUGGGGUUACACAUUGAAAUUAUUAUGUACUAACCAGGAAUGUCUAGUAAAUUUAAGUCAUUAACGUUCUUUGAAUGCGUCCCUGCCUUUUGUACACACCGCCCGUCGCUCCUACCGAUUGGAUAAGUUAGUGAAUAGAUUGGAUUAUGAGUGAACUUCCUAAAAUAUCAGUAAGGUUAGAAAUUUGUAAACUAGAUUAUUUAGAGGAAGGAGAAGUCGUAACAAGGUUUCCGUAGGUGAAUCUGCAGAAG
rnacentral:rRNA from 1 species